rnacentral:rRNA from 1 species
UGGCGGACGGGUGAGUAAUGUCUGGGAAACUGCCCGAUGGAGGGGGAUAACUACUGGAAACGGUAGCUAAUACCGCAUAACGUCGCAAGACCAAAGAGGGGGACCUUCGGGCCUCUUGCCAUCGGAUGUGCCCAGAUGGGAUUAGCUAGUAGGUGGGGUAACGGCUCACCUAGGCGACGAUCCCUAGCUGGUCUGAGAGGAUGACCAGCCACACUGGAACUGAGACACGGUCCAGACUCCUACGGGAGGCAGCAGUC